GGAGGAAAAGAAACCAACAGGGAUUGCCUCAGUAGCGGCGAGUGAAGCGGCAAAAGCUCAAAUUUGAAAUCUGGCGUCUUUGGCGUCCGAGUUGUAAUUUGAAGAAGGUAUCUUUGGGCCCGGCUCUUGUCUAUGUUCCUUGGAACAGGACGUCACAGAGGGUGAGAAUCCCGUGCGAUGAGAUGACCCGGGUCUGUGUAAAGUUCCUUCGACGAGUCGAGUUGUUUGGGAAUGCAGCUCUAAGUGGGUGGUAAAUUCCAUCUAAAGCUAAAUAUUGGCGAGAGACCGAUAGCGAACAAGUACAGUGAUGGAAAGAUGAAAAGAACUUUGAAAAGAGAGUGAAAAAGUACGUGAAAUUGUUGAAAGGGAAGGGCUUGAGAUCAGACUUGGUAUUUUGCAUGCUGCUCUCUCGGGGGCGGCCGCUGCGGUUUACCGGGCCAGCAUCGGUUUGGAGCGGCAGGAUAAUGGCGGAGGAAUGUGGCACGGCUUCUGCUGUGUGUUAUAGCCUCUGACGAUGCUGCCAGCCUAGACCGAGGACUGCGGUUU
rnacentral:rRNA from 1 species